rnacentral:rRNA from 1 species
UACGAGGGGGGCAAAUGUUGUUCGGAAUCACUGGGCGUAAAGGGAGCGUAGGCGGGUUUCUAAGUCAGGUGUUUAAUCCCGGGGCCCAACCCCGGACAGGCACUUGAAACUGGGAAUCUUGAAUAGUGGAGAGGUCAGUGGAAUUGGGGGUGUAGCGGUGGAAUGCGUAGAGAUCCCCAAGAACACCAGUUGCGAAGGCGGCUUCCUGGACCGGUUCUGACACUGAGGAGCGAAAGCGUGGGGAGCGAUCCGG